rnacentral:lncRNA from 1 species
GGAGCUUAACCACCCUCUACUGGUGCCUGGGUAUCUGCACAGACUGCAAAGGGAACUGGGAGUGGCUGUGACUUAAAUGCUUAACUUCCAUAUGCAUAAGCUUUAGCAGGUAGGCUUACUCAAAAACACCUUUAAAGCACAGAUGCUACUUUUCCUCAGAUCCUGCUUUACUUUUAUUGACUCUGCUUUUUCUACUGCAGACCCUGGGUAGGAUUUGAAACCUGCUCAGCAGAGUGCUUGCUCUUCAGGAAAUAAACCCAAAGGACAAGAGGACAUGAGCUCAAUGCGUGGACUCUCAGGUGGUUGGCUGAUUUGUGCAGAACAAGGAAACCUGCAUCUUCUACAAGAUGUGUCAGAAGUUCAAAGUCUCCACAGAGGUCUCCUUGCUACAGCUGCAAAUAUUGUGAGGAAAUAAGAUAAUAGGGCCCUGACUUGGAGAGCUUUGUGCCAAAGGAGUCUGGCACUGACCAUCCUAUCAAUAACCU